rnacentral:lncRNA from 1 species
AUUAGGCUUAAGGUGUAGAGCAAUUAAUUGACGUUGCAUUAAUUUUGAGUAAUUUUAAGAAGUUAUCUGUGUUAACACCUUCAUGAAAAUUUGUAGCGCUGAUAAGAAAGUGUUUGCUCUUCAUGAAUGACCUUUAUCAUGGUUAAGGGGAUCCCUGUUUGUUAGUCUCUGUGUACCAAAUGAGUCUAGACUCCUUGAUGUGUGAAAUGAGUAGCUACCAUUGUGAACUGUUUUAUCAUAUUUUCUAGUUACUCUAAUCUUCUCUCUUUGAAUGGAAUUGCAACAUUUUGCAUCGCAGCAAAGACAAACAUCUAGCUGUCCAGAAGGUGGAUCAGAAACAGAAUUGGAGCUAUUUUAUCUGGACCUAAUUAAACAACCUUCAUUACUGGCAGUGCUUUGUCCCAUACACAGAAUGUGCCUGGAGCUGUUGGCACUAUGGAGGGUGGAGAAAGAAAUAUUUCUCAUUGGCUCCAUGCAGAUGAAGAAACAUAAUCCCAAAUGGUACGCUCAGAUUUUUUCAAUAAAUGUUUUUCGUCACUACAGAGCUUUAUAUAACAGCAGUAAAGGCAAGAAAGGAAAUUAGAAACACAGCUGAGACUGCGUCUCAUACUUCAUAAUAACCCAGAAUUCUUACUGUUUAUUAAAACUAACACCCCUUUUCUGCGUAUUGAUGAAAAAUUCUUCACAGUCUCUUUUCUUUGAUCUUUUCAUUUUACAAACCGCAGAUAUUUGUUGUCGUUUUUUUGUUUAGUUUUAUGUCCAUAAUGUAGAAACUCAAAACUACCAUCCAAUAGUGUUGCAUGAUAAGAAGUAAUC